GCCCGGGUGGUGGAAUGGCAUACACGUGCGACUCAAAAUCGCAUGGCCGCAAGGCCUUGUGGGUUCAAGUCCCACCCCGGGCA
rnacentral:tRNA from 1 species